UUUGAUCAAAAUUAAAGUAAGGUAAACGGUAAACCCAUCCCAUUUCUCUCACCCAGCCGCAUAUUCUCUGUCUCGCCGUGUCGAUCCUCCAUGGCUCCAUCUCUGUCUCGUUCUCUCUGAUUAUACUUUAUACAUCUUCCAUCGUUGUAUUGAUUUCAUUCCCUGCUCUUACUCUCACUCUAAAUCCUCAAUCUCUGUUUCAAUCUAUCAAUCUCAGUCUCCUCUAUCAAUUGCCGUUGUUUUUCCCUCUCAAUCUCUGUGUUGUUCUUCGGUCUCUGUCUCAUUCUCCCACUCUCAGUCUCGUUCCCUCUUCGUAUUCAUCGGUGUAAAUCGAAUUGUUUUGAUCGAAUUUUACAUAUAAGGAAGAGCUCGGUGAACUUUCACUCAAAGGAAGAGUUUCAGUUUUGAAUUUCGAUUCAAAGGUUUUUUUGCUAAGUAAUCGAUCUCUAAUUGAUAUCUAUUUGACUGUUAUGGCAGUUGAUUUCACACAAAGUAGAACUAAAGUAAUAGGUAUGUGAGAUUUUGAUUUUAAGGUUUGGGAAAUUGUAUAACCGGUGGUUGGGCUGUGGUAAAUAUUGGCUUAAUAGAAUCAGUCACAAGUUUUUGGAAAGAACUAUUAAUGUCAUUGAGGUGAAGGGUUUUGGUGGUGGCUGGUUCGAGUUACGUGUGUAUUCGGUAUGGUCGUGUGAUGGAACAGUAUAAUCUUUGUGUGGAAGAAGCUCAUAGGAACAAUCUACUCGUUGGAGCUCACAUGGUUCAGACGACUUCAACAAAUCAAGAAAGCUCGAGCCGUUUACAGAUCACAAUUAUACACAAGAUUGCUUGAAACCUCUUAUUGAGUUGGCUUGGGAACUUAAACUCUUUUGUGAAACUUAUUUAGCAAAGCCUCAGCUUUACACUGCCACAAUUCUUAUCGCUCUUGACAUAUCUAUUCCUAAUUUCCUAUGGGUGAAACUUUCAGGAUUUGUUGUAAAUAAUCAUCAUUUACAAUUUGUUGUCUUCUUUAAUUUUUUUAUUUUAUUUUGAUAUAUAUGUUCUUACAAUUGUUUUGUGUUUUGUCUUUGUAAAAUAGUCAAGUUUAGAUA